rnacentral:rRNA from 1 species
UACGAAGGGUGCAAGCGUUACUCGGAAUUACUGGGCGUAAAGCGUGCGUAGACGGCUAUCUAAGUCGGGUGUGAAAGCCCCGGGCUCAACCUGGGAAUUGCAUUCGAGACUGAAUAGCUAGGGUGCGGUAGAGGGAAGCGGAAUUUCCGGUGUAGCGGUGAAAUGCGUAGAUAUCGGAAGGAACAUCAGUGGCGAAAGCGGCUUCCUGGACCAGCACCGACGUUCAGGCACGAAAGCGUGGGGAGCAAACAGG